rfam:Aspergillus ruber CBS 135680 unplaced genomic scaffold scaffold00003, whole genome shotgun sequence.
GCUCCUGUGGCGCAAUUGGUUAGCGCAUGAGUCUUAUAGAACACUCACGAAACGUGAUGUACUAUGAUUGCGGACUUCUCAAGGUUGUCGGUUCGAGCCCGACCAGGAGCA